GAUGAAGAACGCAGCGAAAUGCGAUACUUGGUGUGAAUUGCAGAAUCCCGUGAACCAUCGAGUCUUUGAACGCAAGUUGCGCCUCAAGCCAUUAGGUUGAGGGCACGUCUGCCUGGGCGUCGCAUAUCGUUGCCUGAUGCCAGUUUCCUCGUGAUGGGUGACUGUGCAGGGCGAAUGAUGGCUUCCCGUGAGCAUUGUUGCCUCAUGGUUGGUUGAAAAUUGAGUCCUUGGUAGGGAGCGCCGUGAUAGAUGGUGGUUGAGUGACGAACGAGACCCAAUCAUGUGAGACCCCUACCGAAUUUGGCCUUCAUGACCCACAUGCGUCUUUGGAACGCUCAUGACGAGACCUCAGGUCAGGCGGGGCUACCCGCUGAGUUUAAGCAUAUCAAUAAGCGGAGGA
rnacentral:misc_RNA from 1 species